rnacentral:rRNA from 1 species
GGACCCGCACAAGUAGUGGAGCAUGUGGUUUAAUUCGAAGAUACGCGCAGAACCUUACCAACACUUGACAUGUUCGUCGCGACUUUAAGAGAUUAGAGUUUUCGGUUCGGCCGGACGAAACACAGGUGCUGCAUGGCUGUCGUCAGCUCGUGUCGUGAGAUGUUGGGUUAAGUCCCGCAACGAGCGCAACCCUCACUUUUAGUUGCCAUCAUUUAGUUGGGCACUCUGAAAGAACUGCCAGUGAUAAGCUGGAGGAAGGUGGGGAUGACGUCAAGUCCUCAUGGCCCUUACGUGUUGGGCUACACACGUGCUACAAUGGUAUCUACAACAGGAAGCAAAACUGCGAAGUUAAGCA